ACCCGGAAGUACUUCAGCCUACUUCAGCUAACUAGCUUUGGUUUGUUGUGGGACCAAAAAAAAAAGUCUGAAAAGAAAGUUUCUUAAUGAAAUGAUGAGAAGAGGCUACUGUUCGGGUGUUUAUGCUCAUUGUCUGGUAAACUGAAGGGUAGGAACCAGCUGUCUCGCAGAUAUGAGAGGAGGAAGAACUGUAUGCUUCAGAAAUGAUUCUGUUAAGGCUCCGUGACAGAAAAUGGUAGGCUUGUGAAGUUAUGCCGAGGUUAUGGAAAGUUCAAUUAAUUGUGCUGAAGAGCAGCAGCCUUCAUCUGUGACCACAAACUCCCAACAGGAAGCUUGCAGGAGUCAAAUGCUAAAAUGUUCUGGUGGAUUUGUUCUGGUGCAUGCUGGAGCAGGAUACCACUCUGAAUCUAAGGCAAAGGAGUAUAAACAUGUGUGUAAAAGAGCCUGCCAGCGGGCUGUGGACCAGCUGAGAGCAGGGGCACUUGCUAUGGAGGCCGUGACCGCUGCGCUUGUAGAACUAGAGGAUUCUCCUUUUACAAACGCUGGCAUGGGCUCCAACCUGAAUCUGUCGGGGGAAAUCGAGUGCGAUGCAAGCAUCAUGGAUGGGAAGUCGCUUCAUUUUGGUGCAGUCGGAGCCAUUAGUGGGAUAAAAAACCCAGUCUUAGUUGCGAACUGUCUCCUGAUUGAAGCACAGAAGGGGAAGCUCUCAGCGGGCAGAAUACCACCCUGCUUUUUGGUGGGGCGAGGGGCCCAUGAUUGGGCAGUAAGCCACGGAAUACCUCCAUGUCCUUCGGAGAAUAUGGCAACAAAGUUCAGUUUAUCUGCAUACAAGAGGAAUAAGCGAAAGAUGGAGCUGGCAGAGAAAAUGGAUGCAGGGCAAAACCAGACAAAGAAGAGACGACAAUCGAGUGAAAACGAAAACGGUUCAGGGUGCCUUGACACAGUUGGAGCUGUUGUGAUCGACUCAGAAGGGAAUGUGGCUGCAGCUGUGUCCAGCGGAGGCCUAGCAAUGAAACAUCCCGGCAGGGUCGGCCAGGCUGCUCAUUAUGGAUGUGGCUGCUGGGCUGAAAACUCCUUUAACAUGAACUCUUACUCUACAGCAGUGAGUACCUCAGGGUGUGGAGAGCAUCUGAUUCGCACCAUGCUGGCUCGGGAAUGCUCCGCUGCCAUGCAGUCUGAAGAUGCCCACCAAGCACUGCUGGAGGCUAUGCAAAACAAGUUCAUCAGUGUAGCCCCAACAGACCCAACAGUCAUGGCAUACAUGCUACAGAGUCUACAGCUCACCGUUUUUGGCCAGUGAAGACCGUGUUCUGGGUGGAGUUAUUGUCUUGAGAUGCUGCAGAAACGUGGAAGCACAGCCAUCUUCUAAUGUUCAAAGUGCAAUGGUGGAGUUCCUAUGGAGUCACACCACAGAGAGCAUGUGUGUUGGCUACAUGUCUGCCCUAGACAGCAAAGCAAAGACCCACAUAUCCAGAUUGCCUCCUGGAACUGUUCCUGGCCAGUCACUGGCGAUCGAGGGCGGGGUGUGUAGGCUGAUGGGGGUACUGGAUUGAACCCUCUUUCCUCACCCCUCUCUAUGUUCUUCUGGGCUUCCUUAGCAAUACUCCUAUACAAACUCAAAAAAUGCACACAGCCAUGAGCUCACUCACAUGUACAGAACCCCCAACUACCCACAACCUUUGCAAUGCCAGAGAUAAUAAGCUUUCAUUGUUUGAACAGGUGUUCAGGAAGAAGUGAGAAGCAUUAGCUAAUACUUAGUGCACUUAUAGGACUUCCCUUUGCAUACUGGAAGCCACUGCCGGCCUUCAGUGUGCACUCUAUGCCAGUUUACCCUCUAAGCUCUCCAGUGUAACCUGGAUUAAACUUGAUACGUCAUUACGGUGACUUAACAUUACUUUUCUUUAUUACUUUUUUCCCAGUUAAACAAUACAUCCUUCCUUUUGUACAUAAUCUAUAAUCCAUGGAAACAGGGUGGAUGUUGUGUUGCUAAAGAGAUGCGACUAUUUUAACAUUUUUAGCAUUUUCAAAUCAAAGAGCUUUUCUUGUUUUCUGUUUGAAAAGGCAGUGGAUAAAAGAUUUGAAAUUCCUCCUUUUGGAGUGUCUGCUACUCAAGACUUUGGCUUGUAUGAUUUAGAGCUUUGAUAUUUUACCAGUAAUAAUGAAAAUACAAGAUAUUUAGCCACUUUAAUCAGCCUGCAUAGUCUUGGUAGUACUUCAGCCUUAUUUGCAUUUUAGCAUGAUGUCAAUAUUCUGUUUGGUCGUUUUUUGGUUGUUUUUUUUUAUGAUAGCCAUUUCAGAAAUUCAACGGUUUAAUUAUUUUAUGAAAUGUGAUUAAGUAAAACUUUACAGUAAGUAACUCUUCUACCUGGAUGGUAAAUAGUUGAUCUAUAAGGAGGAAACUGUGUUCUUACACAGUGAUGACUGUUACAUACAUUUACCAAUCACAUGUUAGUUUCCUCAGUUCCAAUGGCAAUGAAGCUGCAUUUUCUUGCUGAAAGAAUCCAGCUAAAAAAAACAAAUGUAUAAAUCAAGCCCAUAAAAUGGUGCUGUUGUACUUGAAAAAGCUGAGUGUCUGAUCUGUUGGGACAAUGGAAUUUUUUAUUUUAGCAUUUCACUGAGAAACCAUACAUGUGCAAAACUCUGCAGUUCAGAAAAACUGAAUAAAA